rnacentral:misc_RNA from 1 species
CAAAAUGCCUUGAAUCAGUAAGACACUAAGAUUAUUGAGAUAAGCUCAAACAAAGAAGGGGGCAAAGGAAAAUAUUGAACAAGAUAGGUUUGCCAGUACAUUUUGAUAAAUACCCGAACGCCAGAUAACAGGAGACUUAAUCUAGCGGUAAACCUUGAAGUUCAGACCCCUCAGUUGAAACAUCUUUAUGAAAUUAUCCAGAGGGCAUGCUAGAUAUCUAAUUCGAAAUUUAUCAAUACCCUAUAAAAUUAUGCAACUCAAUUGACUAAACCUGUAUCUGGCAUCAUAAAAUAGGCAAGGCAUCAGGCCGCUAUAAAUUUGUUGUCAUUCCCUUCUAGCACCACUCCCUGUGCCAGCACCAAGAUCUUGGACUAGACAAAAAUGCAAGGUGAAAUACAAGUGACCUUGCACAUUGAUGCCACAUCAGUCAAAAUGGAAAAUUUCUUUCAAUUCGUAACACAUUAAAAACUCAUAUAAAUGCACUCAUUUUGUGGAAUGGAGAUCCAGAAGGAGCAAUUAGACCAAGAGUUUGCAUGACUUUGGUCCUCCGUGCACUCAGUUCUUGAGAUGUUCCAGACAAAGUAGCAUCCUAGGAGCAAUAGCAAAAUUCAACAAAUCUAUCUUUGAAAAGGGAUAGGCAAAAAACUUGUAAUGUUUCUUCUUUAAAAAGAAAUCAUUCAAAUACAAGAAAGCAGACCGUAGACUCACAGAGGAGGUCGAAAUGUUAAACUUGUGGUUCUUUAGUACCUCAUUUUGCUUAGGGCUUUUACAUUUUGCCGCUGUUGCAGCUUGCUUAUUUUGCUUUAGUCUCUUCUGACCCCUGUCAUGCUUUUCAGUUUCUUUCACUUGUUUACUGGUACCUGUACACUUUCACUAACAAAGGGUCAAGAGAAACAAAUGCUGAAACAAAUUCUCAAAAACUCUCAUUAAUUCUCAGUAAUAAUUAUAAUCAAAUCUACUAAAAUUUCUACAUGACACAUGUAUUUAUAGUAAAAUAACUAGUCCCAUUAAUACCAGGAUUAGGAAUCCUUCAAUAAGAAAUCCUAAUUAGGAACAUAAAACUAAUUAAACUUCCUAAAAAUAAAAUACUACAUAAAUAAUAAUAGAAUUGCUAAAUAAUAAUCUAAAUUUCCUAAUCUUACAAUGAAUAUAAUUCCUGCUUAUUCUAGGUUGAAUCAAAUUCCAAUACUGCACCAUCUUGCUUAGAUAUUUUUCCAUUUGAAUUCUCUUUUGUGUUUGGGCUGUUAAAUUUGGGCCUUGCUAAUCCCUUCUUCAACAACUUUAUAAGGAAAAAAGCUGUGUCAUCUUUCUAUUUGGGAUAAGAAAUAUGUAUUUUCUUUUAAGGAACCCCCAAUAUAGCAAAUUUUAAUGAGCUAAGACACAAUUAUCAUGUCCCAAAACCACAAUGUCUAAUUAUAAUAGAAUAGAAAUAAACUUAUCAGGAAAAAAUUCCAAAUUAAAUAGUUAAACUUCUGACUUGCUUUGUCUGGUUCAAUAAUACCGCGUAUCCUAGUGAGUUUUACGGGCCUACUGGACCAGAAGCUUCUCAAGCUCAAGCUUUUACUUUUCUAGUUAGAGAUCAAUGUCUUGGGGCUAAUGUGGGAUCUGCUCAAGGACCUUUUUUAUUGAUUUCUGAUCUAAUUUUUAGAAUUGAUUUGAUUGGAAUAAUGGAAACUAAUAAAAUUUGGUGAUUUAGGAGCCAAUUUAUCAUUAUUCAUCAUAAUAUACUAAACAAUGUUCAACUUUAUAACUAUAUUUAUAACCAUAAUUAAAUGUUUAUAGUUAUAAUUAAUAUUAAUUAAAUAUAGUAUUAAUGUGGUAUAAAACAUUAUAAUGUCAAUUUUUAAAAAAUUAUUCCAAAUUAAAUAGCUAAAUUUCAGUAUUAAAGAAGGAUGUAAACCUCCUGUAAUAGAUUAUCAUGUGUUUCGCCACUAUACAGGAUAACAGGAAAUAUAGGAAAGAAUCAUACGAGGAAUGAAUAAAUGUAGAGCGAAGAAGAAACAGUAUGUCCUAAAGUGUGCGGAUACGUUAAAAUAUAGGAAAGAGACAUACAAGGAAGUAGUUUAAGGAAAAUGGAAGUGACACAAGAUUGAAAAUAAGUUAAAGAUUGAGUGUAUCCAAAAUUUCAAGAGUGAAGAAGACUGAAGAUAGACCAAGGAUGACAUGGAGAUAAGUGAUGAAGAAAGACUUAAACACCUUUGGACCUUUCUUAAAAUUUAGCCUUAAACCGAGUAGAAUAGAAGAAAAUGAUCAUAUAGCUAAUCCAAUGGUAUUUAGGUUAAGUUGAGAAGAAUAAGUAAAUUAUACUAUCAAACCCUUUCAUUUCAAAUCUUCAUCUCUCCAGAAGCAACUUUGAAUUAAUCCUUACCUCUUGCACAAUGCAUUCAAAUUAACAGGGGUCUCAAGAAAUCCAUCAUAUUCAAAUCAACUUAACUAAGCUUUAGUCCUCAAUUAGUUGGGAUUGGCUACUUAAACUUGCUCCACUCAAAAUAACCAUAAGCAUGGACACAUAAAACCUUGCUCUCCAGUAAUGAAGAUAUUAUGCAUAAAGUGCGAGACAUGAUCAGGAUUUGUGCCUAACAUUUCAGGUAUGUCACACUGGCACAAUGAGCCCAUGUGAAAAGGAAAAUGAGAAGAAAGACGGCUAACCUUUGGAUUUGGCUACUUUCCCCUUUACUCGACCACAUUUUGAUGAAGAAAGAACCUGCUCCAGAGCUUUCCUGAAUAUAUCUUCAUAACAACCAUUGUUCUGCUCAAGUGUAACCCGAAACUCAGAACACCAUUUAAUGGGAUCCACGUACAUGUAUUCAUAGCUUCCAUAGAGCCUAACACGAACAUCCCCCAUUAAUCCAUCAUCAGCUUUAUUGCUUCCAUUGACAUUGCUCUUAACAACCACAGCAGGCCACCAUGAACCACCAGAAAGCUUGACCCAAAUUACUUCUCCAAGCUUGGGUACCCGUUCCAAAUGCUCAGCUGCAACUCUUUCCCCACCAUGAUCCCUAUCAUGACUUUUGCUACUUGAACAGCGUUUAACUUCCAUAGCUUUUCGUUUUGUUUCAAACAAUCGUUGAGAAAUGCGAAAUGGAUUAGCAAGAGGGGCUCGCUAGUUGGAGGUGAUGCACUGUUACUGCACAGAUCAAUGAGAUGGUCUUGAAGAUGAAGAGAGAGGCGAAAAAAGAAACAGUGCAGCUAUCAUAAAA